UGCCCAGUAACACAUAUCCCUACCUCCUCGUGGUACUGGCCAGGGUACGAAGAUCAGGUAACUAACCCCGGUGGGAACUUUGGUCGUAUGCCGACAGGGAAGG
rnacentral:ribozyme from 1 species